rnacentral:rRNA from 1 species
AGUGAACGCUGGCGGUAGGCCUAACACAUGCAAGUCGAACGGCAGCACAGUAAGAUCUUGCUCUUACGGGUGGCGAGUGGCGGACGGGUGAGGAAUACAUCGGAAUCUACUUUUUCGUGGGGGAUAACGUAGGGAAACUUACGCUAAUACCGCAUACGACCUACGGGUGAAAGCAGGAGAUCUUCGGACCUUGCGCGAUUGAAUGAGCCGAUGUCGGAUUAGCUAGUUGGCGGGGUAAAGGCCCACCAAGGCGACGAUCCGUAGCUGGUCUGAGAGGAUGAUCAGCCACACUGGAACUGAGACACGGUCCAGACUCCUACGGGAGGCAGCAGUGGGGAAUAUUGGACAAUGGGCGCAAGCCUGAUCCAGCAAUACCGCGUGGGUGAAGAAGGCCUUCGGGUUGUAAAGCCCUUUUGUUGGGAAAGAAAAGCAGCAGGUUAAUCCCCCGCUGUUCUGACGGUACCCAAAGAAUAAGCACCGGCUAACUUCGUG